UAAAUAUAAAUAAUUUAACAAUUUAAAUUAUAAAAAUAAUAAAAAUCCCGGGCGUAGCCCGGGUUAAUCCCUAGUCUUAUAUAAUAAAGUUGGCUUGAGUCCCUCUUUAUGCUGCCACAUCAUCAGUAUGCAUAGGGCAUUUUUCGCCACGUGUCACUUCAUUAAAUUUUAAAUGAAAUCGAUUUUUUCGUUCUGAAUACCGAAACCCAUUAUGGGCUCUACGACAGCAAGACUUCUGUUUGGGCUUAUAUCAUGUUGUUUUCUCAGGCCCAAUGGUUUUGUGUGUGAGCUUACGAUCCCUCUUCUGCUUCCUGUAAUCCAAGAUUAGGGUUUCUGUAAUCGAAGAGCUUACCAUCUCUCUUCCACUUCCUCGGCCAAGUAACUCUCGGGAGUUAUGUCAUUCAAUGAGAAAACCCAAAAAUCCCAUGAACUCUUCUUUAUUGCUGCCUUUAUUUGUUGUUCAGUAGCUAUCUUCAGCAUCUAUAUAUAUUUUCGAUAUGGCUUCCCCGUUUCCCAUAGUCUCCGCCUAUUACUUCUGGACUGAAACUCUCAAACAAGAUCUUCAAAAAUGGCAACUUCCAGCUACACUUUUUCGAGUUGAAGACAGGCCGGUGAAAUGAUAUUGUUCAGACGAGACUUCUCCGUUUUUGGGCGUCUCAGAAUGUGAAGAAAGGAGGUCAAUUGAUGAGCAUGGAUAUGCUACUGCUUGAUGCCAAGGUGACGAUGGUUCAGGGCUUCAGGCAUCAAGAAAUGUACACCGGCUGAACAUCUUCUAACAGUUAUUGAGUGACAAGAAGCAACCGAAACGUCUUUAUGGAGAUAUCCGAAACGGUUCAAACCAAUCCCAGUGGAGCACUUCAGAUUUCUGAAUUAUGACCAACUAAUGGUACGAGCCAACACCAAUUCUGAUUUACCAGAUAUUGUUGGCCAAGUAAAGAGGACUAGAACUACAUACAGGGAAGGAGACUCAGAGUACAACACAUGAUGAUUACCAUAAGCAUCAAAAGGAACUCAAAUGUAUGCCUAAGUGUGUUUGAAGGAUUGGCGAAAGCUCUUGAUGAAAUGAGAAUUUCUAUUGAACCGAAGGUGGUGGUUGCCACAAACUUCAACCCUAAAUUGAGAGUCGGCUCUUCCUGAAUGCAACCUCUCCAAUCCAUUUCUAUUUUAAUAAUGACAGUGGUGCAGGUAAAAGUUAUCUUGAGAGGUAAUGACUUUCACCACUAUUUUCUACAUAAGGAGAAAACCUUAAUAGUCCAAACCCACUGACUGAAAGCGGUUCUUAUUUAGGACAUGCGGCAUUGGAAAAGGCUCGACCUCCAGCCCUAUAAAAUAUGGGGGUGUUGAGAAGAUUGAGAAACUAAAAAAAUAAGCAAAUCAAUAUAUAAACAUAUUUAGGAACUAGAUGUAACCAAAGAUAUAAAACUCCGCGCAAAAUAAAACAUCAUUUGUUGUUACAUAAUAUAUACUAUAUAUUAUUAUUUAAGGCAUUAUUGAAACUAUUUAUAUAUUGCUUUAAGAUAUAACUUUUAAUAAUUUUAUCACAUUACAUUUGAUUUGCAAUUGAUUUAGUUUGGAGAUGGGUGUAUUAAUUUAUUCUCGUGAAAAUUAGUUAUUGUAAUAAUAUUAAAAUCUGAUAAUCUUAGAAAUAAAAUAUUAGUUAUUUUUACCUUAGAUUUUCUUCAACUAUAUAAAACUGAAAUAUAAAUCAAAUAGAAAAAUAUAAAUAUUUACUUUUUUCUUAAUUUCUAAAUUUAAUAAUUUUGUGUUCUCUAACAAAAAAAUGUUAGUGGUCUUUUCAACUCAAACCAACAAAAUUUAAUAAAAUUUACAGUAUACUUUUAGAAUAAAAAUAGAUUACAUUUAUAGUUUAGUAACAAAGUAAAUUUAAAUUAAAAUAUUUUAAUAUAAAAUCAUUUUAGUUUAAAAUCACCCGCCCGUAGGACGGGACAACCCCUAGUAUAAAAUAAUUUUAAAUGAUUCAUUGUUUUUGUCUUAUGCAAUUCAAAAAUUUAAGUAUUCAAUUUUUUUUGUUAUUGGAAAUUAUAUAUAAGGUGAAUAGCUGAAUAAGAAAAAAUUAAUUAAAUUUCAAUUAUGGUAUUUAACUGGUUGAAUUGUAAACAUGUCUCAUUAUCUAAAUAUUAUUUAUCUUACUUUUAUAAGUGUUUGAAAUUUUUUUUGCCUUUUCAAUUUUUUGUUCCACGUCGUCCAAAGUAUGUUUUAAAAAUUCAUCAACUCCAUAUUUAUUUUUCUCGUUUUUAUAGACUUUAAAAUUUUGAAAGUGUGAGAGUUGAUAAAAUAUAAUGCAUGUAUGAAUUAUAAAGUUCAUGGCAUACAUGAGUACAUUUGUUAGUGCUUCUUCUGGAUAGCGAAAUAAAUAUAUAUAUAACAUAAAAUAACAUGUUCAAGUAUUAGAAUUUAUACGAAGCUUUUCCAUUGUCAUUUAUUCUAUAAUUUUAGCAAACCAAGCUUUGGGAUUUGAUAUUGAAGUAGUGUCAUUGAUAUAUUUGACAGACCAAUUACUCGUAUGAACCACUAAAUUGCCUUUAAUUGAUUUAUAUAUUGUAUGAAACUUGCAAAAAAUCUUCAAAACGCAAAAAUUGUAUUCCAACACUAACUACUUCCCCUCACGUCUCAUGUGGCUUGACUCUUGCUACUUAGUUCACUACUUUCCUUACCCAUGGCCAUCUAACAAUCUCAAUCUCUGAUUCGUUGAUAAUCUUCAUCAAGUUUUCUACUACAACCUACAUCUUGGGCCGUAGGUAUCGUAAAGAGAUCAGCAAGCUAUCCAAACUAAUGCUCAUGCAGCUGCAUGCGGAGUUAUUGUGGAGCCAUUAAUCCUUAGGUUUGUUUCUCUCAUUGGUUUGGGCGUCGGGUUAUAAUCUGGUUGAGCACAACACUGAAGCCGUAGGGAUCCCUCUUUAACAAAAGAUGGCCUGUCUGCACGUAUGUAAGAGCUGCAGAGCCACAUGUUUCAAAUUUGUAUAAAGUGAAUGUGGAUAAAUAUGAAAAAGUAGAUAUAUUAAACGAUUCAUUUUUUUUUCAUCAUCUAAAACUAUGUACACUAUAUCAAACCUACCUGAAUACAUCUUAUUCUAUAAAGAAAGGUUUGCUUCAAUACAAUUAAGGAUAAAAUUCUCACAUACAAAACAAUUUUUUUUAACGCGAACCAAAUCAAACAAUAUGAAAGGUAAAAUCGUGUGUGUGUAAAAAAUUAAUAGUUUAAUAUUCACUGAAGAACAUUUGGGUUGAGAUGAAGUAACAAAUAUAACAAUGAAACUGAUUUGUUACACUGAAACAAUGACCAAAGAAAAAUCAUUUUGAUCAAUUUCAUGACUUAUAACUUUUUAAUCAAAGAAAUAUUGAUGUAGAUAAGAAGAGACCACAUAUGGGUCAUAAGUUUAAUUUCAAUUAAACUUAAUUUAGUUAAAAGCCUAUAUAUAUAAAAUUAGCUUUUUCUCUUCUUAUGACAAGUAGAAACGAUAUUUGAUGACAUGUGUUCCCAUGUAUUUUUGUUUUAACAUUUUAGGUCUUUUUUCUUUUACACUAUUGCAAUUUGGUUAGUAUUUUCUAAUUGUGCACUAUUAUUUUUCUCUCACUAACCAUUAUUAUAUGAAGUUUUAUAAUAUAUUUUAUUAGUCAAUAACAUUGGAGAUGAAUAAA